ACACGACUCUCGGCAACGGAUAUCUCGGCUCUCGCAUCGAUGAAGAACGUANCGAAAUGCGAUACCUGGUGUGAAUUGCAGAAUCCCGCGAACCAUCGAGUCUUUGAACGCAAGUUGCGCCCGAGGCCAUUNGGCCGAGGGCACGCCUGCCUGGGCGUCACGC
rnacentral:rRNA from 1 species